rnacentral:rRNA from 1 species
UACGAAGGGGGCUAGCGUUGUUCGGAAUUACUGGGCGUAAAGGGCGCGCAGGCGGCUGAUCAAGUCAGAUGUGAAAGCCCCGGGCUCAACCUGGGAAUAGCAUUUGGGACUGGUCGGCUAGAGUUCGGGAGAGGAGAGUGGAAUUCCCAGUGUAGAGGUGAAAUUCGUAGAUAUUGGGAAGAACACCGGUGGCGAAGGCGGCUCUCUGGACCGAUACUGACGCUGAGGCGCGAAAGCGUGGGGAGCAAACAGG